GGAUAACAGUCAGCCGGAGCCAGAAACCCCCACCCAGGCUGAGGAACAAGGAUGUGUGGCCGGCAAGGAAUAAUGGGCUACUGGGAGGUGCCAGUGAGAUCAACGUCUAAAUGCUAGUUUGGUGGGUGGAAGAGUGAACGUUUGGGAAGAGUGAGAUGAUUUUGUUUCACUGGAGGAGUUAGAAACAUAAAUAUAUGCAUCUCAGGGGACCACUGUAUGGAUUAAAGGAGUCACACUUACCCAUCAACUGGCGCACAACAGGUACCCAGGGUGAAGCUUGACAGGAAAUGCUAGGAAGUCUUUGUGGCAACUGCUGAUGGAGGUUACGAGAACGUGGCAAGCACAGACCAAAAGGUAGAGCCAACCCUG